rnacentral:rRNA from 1 species
UAGGGAAUCUUCGGCAAUGGGGGGAACCCUGACCGAGCAACGCCGCGUGAGUGAAGAAGGUUUUCGGAUCGUAAAGCUCUGUUGUUAAGGAAGAACGAGUGUGAGAAUGGAAAGUUCAUACUGUGACGGUACUUAACCAGAAAGGGACGGCUAACUACGUGCCAGCAGCCGCGGUAAUACGUAGGUCCCGAGCGUUGUCCGGAUUUAUUGGGCGUAAAGCGAGCGCAGGCGGUUAGAUAAGUCUGAAGUUAAAGGCAGUGGCUCAACCAUUGUAGGCUUUGGAAACUGUUUAACUUGAGUGCAGAAGGGGAGAGUGGAAUUCCAUGUGUAGCGGUGAAAUGCGUAGAUAUAUGGAGGAACACCGGUGGCGAAAGCGGCUCUCUGGUCUGUAACUGACGCUGAGGCUCGAAAGCGUGGGUAGCGAACAGG